CCUCCCCCACCCCAUAAAUUCGGGUUAAAAAGGGUCUUUUUACCCCACAUUUUUGGGGUUAAAAAUGUCUUUUCUGACCCAUAAAUUUGGGGUCAAAAGGGUCUUUUCUGCCCCAGAACUCUGGGCUAAAAAGGGUCUUUUCUGCCCUAUAAAUUUGGGGUAAAAAAAUGUCCUUUCUGCUCCAUAAAUUUGGGGUAAAAAGAGUCAAUUCUGCCCCAUAAAUUUGGGGUAAAAAAGGUUCUUACUGCCCCAUAAGUUUGGGGUAAAAAGGGUCUUUUUUACCCAACAAAUUUGGGGUAAAAAAGGUCCUUUCUGCCCCAGAAAUCUGGGGUAAAAAGGGUCAAUUCUGCCCCAUAAAUUUGGGGUAAAAAAAGUCAUUUCUGCCCCACAAGUUUGGGGUAAAAAGGGUCUUUUUUACCCAACAAGUUUGGGGUCAAAAAGGUCCUUUCUGCCCCAUAAAUUUGGGGUAAAAAGGGUCCUUUCUGCCCCACAGAUUUGGGG